rnacentral:rRNA from 1 species
GAUGAACGCUGGCGGCGUGCCUAAUACGUGCAAGUCGAGCGAAUGAUGAGGAGCUUGCUCCUCUGAUUUAGCGGCGGACGGGUGAGUAACACGUGGGUAAUCUGCCUGUAAGACGGGGAUAACUCCGGGAAACCGGGGCUAAUACCGGAUAACAAGAGAAGAAGCAUUUCUUCUUUUUGAAAGUCGGUUUUGGCUGACACUUACAGAUGAUCCCGCGGCGCAUUAGCUAGUUGGUGAGGUAACGGCUCACCAAGGCGACGAUGCGUAGCCGACCUGAGAGGGUGAUCGGCCACACUGGGACUGAGACACGGCCCAGACUCCUACGGGAGGCAGCAGUAGGGAAUCUUCGGCAAUGGGCGAAAGCCUGACCGAGCAACGCCGCGUGAGCGAUGAAGGCCUUCGGGUCGUAAAGCUCUGUUGUUAGAGAAGAACAAGUACGAGAGUAACUGCUCGUACCUUGACGGUACCUAACCAGAAAGCCACGGCUAACUACGUGCCAGCAGCCGCAGUAA